CGCGGCCAUUACACAGACGGUGCUCCUCGCCGCCCGCGGGCUUCUGGGAGGGAAAAGACCGUGAAGGCCCUGGUCUUCCAGCCAGGACCCAAUGGACACCUCGAUCAGCCGACCUGGGAUGACCGCCAACAGCUCCUGCAGACUCUCCUCACCACGGAGGAGCGACACCGCGUCUACCUCGAAGCUCGGAAAAACGUCCCGGGGGCGGAUGGGAGGCGACCCGGCUGCCUAAGGAAAUUGAGGAUGUUUUCCCCUUGGUUCGCCCGACCUGGGACUACGACACUGUUGCUGGUAGGGAGCGGCUCCGUCUCUAUCGCCAGGUACUCCUAGCGGGUCUCAAAGGGGCAGGGCGUCGCCCCACCAAUUUGGCAAAGGUAUGUGCUAUAGGGCAGGGAAAAGAUGAGACGCCGGCAGGUUUUCUGCAGAGGUUAAUAGAAGGCUAUACUGGCCACCGUAGUACAGGGCUCAGGGCAGAGUAAGUCAGGACAGAGUAGGGACCUGGGAGACAAAAGAGGACCACGGGUUGAACGAGACCAGUGUGCCUACUGCAAGGAAAAAGGACAUUGGGUUAAAGAUUGCCCAAGGAAGGGCCAAACGCAGGGACCUAAAAAGAAGCCCAUUCCUGUUUUGUCCCUAGAAGAUGAAGAUUAGGGGUGUCAGGGCCAUGAACCCCCCCCCGAGCCUCGGAUAACCCUUAAAGUGGGGGGACAGCCGGUGACCUUCCUGGUCGAUACGGGGGCUCAACAUUCAGUUUUAACUGAGGCAAAAGGACCCUUGAGCUCUAAAACGUCUUGGGUUCAGGGGGCAACUGGAGGCAAGUUAUAUCGAUGGACAACCGAACGGAAGGUCCACCUGAGCACUGGGCAAGUAACGCAUUCCUUCUUAGUGGUCCCAGACUGCCCUUACCCUCUCCUAGGCAGAGACCUUCAUUCAAAAGUAGGGGCCCAGAUACAUUUUCAGCAAAAAGGGGCCACUAUUACUGGCGCAGAAGGGCAGCCCCUCCAGGUACUGACCUUGGCGCCUAGAGGAUGAACACCGGCUGCACGAGGACUCUCCACGUCCGUGCAGCCCCUAGAUUCUGAAUGGCUCACUAACUACCCUCAGGCCUGGGUGGAAACGGCCGGAAUGGGACUAGCUGUAAACCAGCCACCCAUAAUUAUAAACUUAAAACCCUCAGCCACCCCCAUAUCGAUCCGGCAAUAUUCAAUGAGCAAAGAGGCCAAAGAAGGCAUUCGGCCCCAUAUACAGAGACUAUUACAAUUGGGCAUUUUUAUACCUUGCCAGUCGCCCUGGAAUACUCCUCUAUUACCCGUAAAAAAAACCCGGCACAGGAGAUUACCGGCCGGUACAAGAUUUACGAGAGGUUAACUGGAGGACAGAGGACAUACAUCCCACGGUGCCGAAUCCCUACAACUUGCUCAGCACCUUACCCCCAAGCCAUGUCUGGUAUACGGUGUUAGAUCUAAAAGAUGCAUUCUUUCGCCUAAGGUUAAGCUCUCAAAGCCAGCCUAUUUUUGCCUUUGAAUGGAAAGAUCCUGAGACGGGAUUCUCAGGACAACUCACUUGGACAAGGCUGCCACAGGGAUUCAAAAAUUCCCCCACUUUGUUCGUGAAGCCUUGCAUGGGGAUUUGGCAGAUUUCCGAGUUGGCCAUCCGGACCUCGUCCUCCUGCAGUACGUGGAUGAUUUGCUCCUGGCGGCUAGGACAGAACAGGAUUGUGUAAAAGGUACGGGGGCCCUGCUUGAGAGACUGGGAGAACUGGGGUAUAGGGCCUCCGCCAAAAAGGCCCAAAUAGGCCAGAGACAAGUGACCUAUCUGGGAUAUCUCCUGGAAGGAGGCCAGAGGUGGCUGACGGAGAGCCGCAAAAAGGCUGUAGCCCUGAUCCCAGCACCCACUAAUGCCAAAGGACUACGAGAGUUCCUCGGCAGUGCUGGGUUCUGCCGCCUCUGGAUACCCGGGUUUGCGGAGAUGGCGGCUCCCCUAUAUCCUCUCACGAAAUCCAACACCCCCUACCACUGGGGAAAGGAGCAGCAACUGGCUUUUGACAAAAUAAAAAGGGCCUUAUUGACCGCCCCUGCCCUGAACCUCCCAGAUGUAACCAAGCCUUUUACGCUAUAUGUUGAUGAACAUAAUGGAAUAGCCAAAGGGGUCCUAACUCAAAAACUGGGACCCUGGAAAAGGCCCGUGGCAUACUUUUCAAAAAAAAUUAGACAGCGUGGCUGCAGGAUGGCCCCCAUGUCUCCGAAUAAUAGCGGCUGUGGCAGUCCUGGUAAAAGACUCAGACAAGUUGACUUUUGGCCAACCCCUCACUGUGGUGGCCCCCCACGCCGUAGAGACAGUCAUCCGCCAGCCCCCUGAUCGAUGGCUCUCAAACGCCCGGGUCACCCAUUAUCAGGCCAUGUUACUGAAUUCUGAGUGGAUACAGUUUGGAACGGCUACAUCUCUAAACCCGGCCACCUUGCUUCCAGAAACCGAGUCCCCCUCCCUAGUAAUGCAUGAUUGCCACCAGAUCCUAGCUGAAGUCCAUGGCACCAGAGGGGACUUGACGGACCAGCCUUUGCCAGAUGCUGAAGCAACCUGGUACACCGAUGGGAGUAGCUUUCUACGAAAUGGUAACCGACGCUUGUGUACCUUGUGCUAAGGUAAAUACCAAACACCUCAAGAUGCCUGAGGGAACCAGGAUGAGGGGAGAAAGACCCGGAACUAAUUGGGAAGUAGACUUCACCGAAAUCAAGCCAGGUAAAUAUGGUAACAAGUACCUCCUAGUGUUUAUAGAUACCUUUUCAGGCUGGACAGAAGCAUUCCCCACCAAGCGAGAAACCGCCCAGGUGGUUGUCAAGAAAAUCCUGGAAGAAAUUUUCCCGCUGUUUGGACUGCCCAAGGUAAUAGUGUCGGACAACGGCCCUGCCUUCGUCUCCCAGGUAAGUCAGUUGGUGGCCAAAUUACUGGGGAUAAAUUGGAAAUGACAUUGUGCAUACAGACCCCAGAGCUCAGGUCAGGUAGAAAGAAUGAAUAGAACAAUUAAAGAGACCCUAACUAAAUUGACAUUGGAGACUGGCACUAGAGACUGGGUCCAACUCCUCCCUAUGGUUCUGUUCCGAGUCCGGAACACUCCCGCGCGCCAUGGGCUAACUCCUUACGAGGUUCUCUAUGGAGGUCCCCCGCCAGUAACGGACUUACUAGAUUCUGCUCUUGACCCUCUUGCUAACACUCCCGGUUUACAGGACAGGCUAAAGGCGCUCCAGAUUAUCCAGCACCAGAUCUGGAAACCCCUUGCGGCUGUCUACCGCCCCGAGACACAACCGGCCCACACCCGUUCCAGACCGGUGACUCCGUCUACGUCAAGAGACAUCAGUCCAGGACGCUUGAGCCCCGCUGCAAGGGCCCAUAUACUGUCCUACUGACCACCCCAACCGCCUUAAAGGUAGACGGCAUUGCUGCUUGGGUCCACGCCUCACACGUCCAGCGCGCCCCAUCAACGAGCACCGCUGACGCCAGCCAGGACGGACCGGACAAGCCACUCCAAUGGAAGCUCCACCGCACCCAAAACCCGCUCAAGAUAAGACUUUCAAAAAUUGUUCAAUGACAGUUGUUAUAUUCCUACCUCUCCUAGCGCUCUUCACCUCCGCCAAAGGUGACCCUCAUGCCCUCAAAAGGUUAACCUGGCAGGUACUAACGUCUGGGGGUGACGAGGUCUGGUCUAUAACUAAGACCGCCCCGUGGGAACCUGGUGGCCUAACCUAUAUCCUGACCUAUGCAAGCUAACCAUAGGGGCCCCUAGCCCAUGGGACCUAGAGGGAUACUUCGACACCUCUAGAGCCCCUAACCAAGAAAGCCCUCCAGGGCGACUGGGAUUAGACCCAUGGGGAGGAUGUGGCACGCCUGAUAGAAGGGCCAUGCUAAGCCCUCUUCCCUUUUAUGUCUGUCCCGGGCACCACAGAGAUCGCAGGCUAAAUCCCACCUGUGGAGGAGGGGAAUACUUCUAUUGUAAAAAUUGGGGGUGCGAAACUACGGGGGAUACAGAAUGGAGGCCCUCCUCCUCCUGGGAUUAUAUCACUGUCAAGGCUAACUAUACUCACCCGACAUUUAGCAAAUGGAAAACCCUUAAUUAUGGGCCCUGCCAAGGGUGGUGUCAUCCCCUAUGGAUAUCCUUCACGGAGCCCGGAAAAAGGGCUACUUACUGGGCCAAUGGAUAUACGUGGGGACUCAGGUUAUACAAAGAAAGAACAGAUGAUGGUUUUAUAUUCGGAAUUAAACUAAAAUAGAAUCCCCAGACCCCGUGGCGAUCGGGCCUAACGUGGUCCUCGGGGAACAAAGAGCUGCCCCGGCCCUAGCCGCAGGGAGCGCCACACCCACUAACUUCGCGGUCACUCCAACCCCUCGGUCGUCACCCGAGACGGGACAACGACUGUUUAAUCUUAUCAUAGGGGCAUUCCUGGCCCCUAAUCGAACCAGCCCCGAUGUAACUAAAUCCUGCUGGCUCUGCCUUGCAUCCCCCCCCCCCUUAUUAUGAGGGAAUUGCUACUUCAGGGACCUAUAAUAACAUCACUAGCACCCAGGGAUGCACACCCGACUCCCAACCACAAUUCACCCUUACAGAAGUUACAGGACAGGGAACCUGCAUAGGAACACCCCCCCGGGGCUACCAGAGACUCUGCAACACUACCACCCCGAUUUUGGGGACUGAUUCUUACCUGGAGCCCCAGCCGGGAACUUGGUGGGCAUGCAACAAAGGCCUCACCCCCUGUGUGUCGGCUAAGGUUCUAAAUAGCUCAAACGACUUCUGUGUCAUGGUGCAGAUCAUACCCAGGGUGUUCUAUCACCCUGCUGAAACUCUAGAAAAUCAGUAUGAUAAACAUCCCACCCGUUUUCGGCACGAACCUGUCUCCCUAACCUUAGCCGUUAUGUUGGGACUAGGGGUCGCUACUGGGGUGGGUACUGGCGCAGCUGCUCCGAUCCAGGGCUCACGGCGUUAUCUAGAACUCCAAACAGCUGUAGAUGAGGAUCUACGGACACUAGAGCAGUCCGUUUCUAAGCUAGAACAGUCCCUCACCUCACUUUCAGAAGUAGCACUUCAAAACAGGAGAGGCUUGGAUUGACUAUUCCUGAAAGAGGGAGGACUGUGUGCGGCGCUGGGAGAGGAAUGCUGUUUCUAUGCAGACCAUUCUGGAGUCAUCAGACUCCAUGGCCAAACUCAGGGAAAGGUUAAAUAAAAGACAAAGGGACCGGGAGGCCCAGCAGGGCUGGUUUGAAAGCUGGUUUAAUCAGUCUCCCUGGUUGACCACCCUAAUCUCUACCAUUAUGGGCCCUCUAGUUAUCCUGCUCCUGCUGCUAACUUUCGGCCCCUGCGUCCUCAACCGGCUGCUCCAGUUCAUCCGAGAAAGAUUGUCUAUUACCCAAGCUCUGGUAUUAACUCAGCAAUGUCGGGCCCUCCAAACUGAAGAAAUAAAUGUUCCCUAAGAUUUUAAGGUUAAAAUCAGCCCAAACAAGAGGAGGGAAUGAAGAAACCUCCCCCCUUGUAAGUAGGGCCAGCCCUAACCCAGAGGCAGCCCAUCCAGGCGCCUUCCUGAAAUUUUAGCAACUAAAAGCAUUCUGUUGACAAUAAGAAAACCAUUUCCCCCCACACCCUGAUUGGAAUGUCCUUGAAUAGGUUCAUGUUGACCCUCUGUGAAAUCAACCUGGAUGCUAUGCGACUCCUGCGGUUCUUUUGCCUUUAGGCGGUUUCUUUCCUUUUGCCUUUACAAGAUCCCUGUAAUUGCUAAUCAGGGCUCUUUUCCUCCUCGGAGUCGGAGAGCCCGUUUGCGCAAAAGUUCA